rnacentral:misc_RNA from 1 species
UACGGAGGGUGCAAGCGUUAAUCGGAAUUACUGGGCGUAAAGCGUGCGUAGGCGGUUUGUUAAGUCCGAUGUGAAAGCCCUGGGCUCAACCUGGGAAUGGCAUUGGAUACUGGCAGGCUAGAGUGCGGUAGAGGGGUGCGGAAUUCCCGGUGUAGCGGUGAAAUGCGUAGAGAUCGGGAGGAACAUCCGUGGCGAAGGCGGCACCCUGGACCAGCACUGACGCUGAGGCACGAAAGCGUGGGGAGCAAACAGG